CCUGUGAGAGCUCAAACUGUGAUGGUUAGUUUGAUUCUCAAUUUGAACAGCUCCCUGUCUUCCUGCUUAUCUCUUUUUGAAAGUAUGACCUGUUUAUUUUUUGGGAGAAUCACCCUUUUGUUGGAGUAGAGGAAAAUACCUCUAAAUAUUUUAUACAUAAAAUAUAAAGGUUUGAUCUUCUGAUGGCAGAGAUUUUUAGAAAGGUCUUCUCCUAGUUCUCCU
rnacentral:lncRNA from 1 species